rnacentral:rRNA from 1 species
UACGAAGGGUGCAAACGUUGCUCGGAAUUAUUGGGCGUAAAGCGCACGUAGGCGGCUUGGCAAGUCGGAUGUGAAAUCCCUCGGCUCAACCAAGGAAGUGCAUCCGAAACUGCUGAGCUUGAGUACUUAAGAGGAUCGCGGAAUUCCCGGUGUAGAGGUGAAAUUCGUAGAUAUCUGGAGGAACAUCGGUGGCGAAGGCGGCAUCCUGGACCGGUAUUGACGCUGAGGCGCGAAAGCCAGGGGAGCAAACGGG